GAGUUUGAUCAUGGAGGCUCAGAUUGAACGCUGGCGGCAGGCCUAACACAUGCAAGUCGAGCGAGAAAGCACUUCGGUGUGAGUAGAGCGGCGGACGGGUGAGUAACGCGUAGGAAUUUGCCCAGUAGUGGGGGACAACAUGUGGAAACGCAUGCUAAUACCGCAUACGCCCUACGGGGGAAAGCAGGGGAUCUUCGGACCUUGCGCUAUUGGAGAAGCCUGCGUCGGAUUAGCUAGUUGGUGGGGUAAAGGCCCACCAAGGCGACGAUCCGUAGCUGGUCUGGGCCGUGUCUCAGUCCCAGUGUGGCUGAGACACGGCCCAGACUCCUACGGGAGGCAGCAGUGGGGAAUAUUGGACAAUGGGCGAAAGCCUGAUCCAGCCAUGCCGCGUGUGUGAAGAAGGCCUUAGGGUUGUAAAGCACUUUCAGUAGGGAGGAAAAGUUAGUCGUUAAUAACGGCUAACCCUGACGUUACCUACAGAAGAAGCACCGGCAAACUCCGUGCCAGCAGCCGCGGUAAUACGGAGGGUGCGAGCGUUAAUCGGAAUUACUGGGCGUAAAGCGCGCGUAGGCGGCCUGAUAAGUUGGAUGUGAAAGCCCCGGGCUCAACCUGGGAACUGCAUUCGAUACUGCCUGACUAGAGUGUGGUAGAGGGAAGUGGAAUUCCGGGUGUAGCGGUGAAAUGCGUAGAUAUAGGAAGGAACACCAGUGGCGAAGGCGACCACCUGGUCUGAUACUGACACUGAGGUGCGAAAGCGUGGGGAGCAAACGGGAUUAGAUACCCCGGUAGUCCACGCCGUAAACGAUGUCAACUAGCCGACUGGCGCCUUGAGCGCUGGGUGGCGCAGCUAACGCAUUAAGUUGACCGCCUGGGGAGUACGGCCGCAAGGUUAAAACUCAAAUGAAUUGACGGGGGCCCGCACAAGCGGUGGAGCAUGUGGUUUAAUUCGAUGCAACGCGAAGAACCUUACCUACUCUUGACAUCCACGGAAUUUAGCAGAGAUGCUUUAGUGCCUUCGGGAACCGUGAGACAGGUGCUGCAUGGCUGUCGUCAGCUCGUGUUGUGAAAUGUUGGGUUAAGUCCCGCAACGAGCGCAACCCCUAUCCUUAGUUGCCAGCACUUAAGUUGGGCACUUUAGGGAGACUGCCGGUGACAAACCGGAGGAAGGUGGGGACGACGUCAAGUCAUCAUGGCCCUUACGACCAGGGCUACACACGUGCUACAAUGGAGCGUACAAAGGGUUGCGACCCCGCGAGGGUGAGCUAAUCCCAUAAAACGUUUCGUAGUCCGGAUCGCAGUCUGCAACUCGACUGCGUGAAGUCGGAAUCGCUAGUAAUCGUAGAUCAGAAUGCUACGGUGAAUACGUUCCCGGGCCUUGUACACACCGCCCGUCACACCAUGGGAGUGGGUUGCAAAAGAAGUGGGUAGCAUAACCUUCGGGGGUGCGCUCACCACUUUGUGAUUCAUGACUGGGGUGAAGUCGUAACAAGGUAACCGU
rnacentral:rRNA from 1 species